GGGAGACUUAUGAUGAAGAGUUCUGGUAGGCAUUCUGUUAAGGAUAUAGGUGGCAGUUAACAGACAAUCCCCCCAGAAAGAGACAGGUAGGCCAGAUUGAAAAAGUAAGGCUCUACAGGUUUCAAGGAGUGUUCUGUGUUUUCUUUCAACAACACCAUUCUGUUGAGGUGAAUGAGGGCAAGAGGUUUGAUGAAUGAUCCCCUGACUACUAAAGAAGGAUAUUCCUUUAGUACUAGACCCCAGUUCUAAGGCAUUGUUACUUCUGACAGUUUGGACCACAGAAUUAAAUUGAGCAUUCUGUUGAGGUGAAUGAGGGCAAGAGGCUUGAUGAAUGAUCCCCUGGCUACUAAAGAAGGAUAUUCCCUCAGUGCUAGACCCCAGUUCUAAGGCAUUGUCACUUCUGACAGUUUGGACCACAGAAUUAAAUUGAGUUUUAACAAAAGAAAUGAAAGACUUAAGUAGGGAAAAGGCAUUGCUUUUGGAUCCCAUUAAGUGUGUCCAGGUUGCCCUAGAGAAGUCAUCAACUAUAGUAAGGAAGUAUUU
rnacentral:lncRNA from 1 species